rnacentral:rRNA from 1 species
UACAGAGGUCUCAAGCGUUGUUCGGAUUCAUUGGGCGUAAAGGGUGCGUAGGUGGCGCUGUAAGUCGGGUGUGAAAUUUCGAGGCUUAACCUCGAAACUGCAUUCGAUACUGCGGUGCUUGAGGACUGGAGAGGAGACUGGAAUUCCCGGUGUAGCGGUGAAAUGUGUAGAGAUCGGGAGGAACACCGGUGGCGAAGGCGGGUCUCUGGGCAAUUCCUGACGCUGAGGCGCGAAAGCGUGGGGAGCAAACGGG